CAGUUGGAAACGACUGCUAAUACCCAAUGUGCCCACGGGUGAAACCUUUUUUGGCCUGAAGAUGAGCUCGCGUCUGAUUAGCUAGUUGGUGGUGUAAUGGACUCACCAAGGCAACGAUCAGUAGCUGGUCUGAGAGGAUGAGCAGCCACACUGGGACUGAGACACGGCCCAGACUCCUACGGGAGGCAGCAGUGGGGAAUUUUCCGCAAUGGGCGAAAGCCUGACGGAGCAAUACCGCGUGAGGGAGGAAGGUUCUUGGAUUGUAAACCUCUUUUCUCAGGGAAGAAAAAAAUGACGGUACCUGAGGAAUAAGCAUCGGCUAACUCCGUGCCAGCAGCCGCGGUAAUACGGGGGAUGCAAGCGUUAUCCGGAAUUAUUGGGCGUAAAGAGUCCGUAGGUGGUCUUGCAAGUCGACUGUCAAAGCCCGCAGCUUAACUGCGGAGAGGCGGUGGAAACUGUGAGACUAGAGUAUGGUAGGGGUAGAGGGAAUUCCCAGUGUAGCGGUGAAAUGCGUAGAUAUUGGGAAGAACACCGGUGGCGAAAGCGCUCUACUGGACCAUAACUGACACUCAGGGA
rnacentral:rRNA from 1 species